rnacentral:rRNA from 1 species
CCCGCACAAGCGGAGGAACAUGUGGUUUAAUUCGAUGAUACGCGAGGAACCUUACCUGGGCUUAAAUGUAGAGCGACAGAUCGGGAAACUGGUCCUUCUUCGGACGAUCUACAAGGUGCUGCAUGGUUGUCGUCAGCUCGUGCCGUGAGGUGUCGGGUUAAGUCCCAUAACGAGCGCAACCCUUAUCGUUAGUUGCCAGCGGGUAAUGCCGGGGACUCUAACGAAACUGCCGGUGUAAACCGUGAGGAAGGUGGGGAUGACGUCAAAUCAGCACGGCCCUUAUGUCCAGGGCGACACACGUGUUACAAUGGCCGGUACAGAGGGCAGCUACCUGGUGACAGGAUGCAAAUCUCCAAAACCGGUCUCAGUUCGGAUCGAAGUCUGCAACUCGACUUCGUGAAGCUGGGUUCGCUAGUAAUCGCGCAUCAGCCAUGGCGCGGUGAAUACGUUCCCGGGCCUU